CCCCUUUUUAUUUAUUGAUUGCUGCGUCUUUAUCAUUCUUCACACAGGUUGGAUUUUUCGUUAGAAAAGAUUUUGGCUUAUAUUUUGUUUUUUAAAGUGGUGUUAACAGAACAGAUGUUUUUAACUGUAUAAUGUAUGAGUUAAUCAUUUUUCUAUGGAUGAUUCUUUUAGUUUUGCAUUCAAGAAAUCUUUGCUGGGGGUUGGUGGUGCAGCUCAGUGGUAUAAUGUGUGAUGGGUUUGUAUGUGUUUCUGGGUUCACUGUUUAGUACCGCCACCCCCCUGCCAAAAGAAGAAAAUCUUUGCCUAACCUCCUAACUGAGGAUCACAAAUAUAUUUCUCACACUUUUUCUAUCUAAUGUUUUAUAGUUCUACGUUUUAUAUUUAGACAGUCAUUCACUUUUUGCUUUGUUUUGUUUGUUACAAGGUCACACUAUGUAGUUCAGGCUGGCUUUGAACUCACUGUGUAACCCCGGCUGGCCUCAAACUUGUGGCAAACCUCCUGCCUCAGCCUCCUAAUUAUUGGAUUAUAAGCAUGCACCACCACAACUGCAUUGUGGGUUCAUUUCAUAAGAGUAGAAUUAUUCACAAAAUGUCUGUGCUUUUUAUUUUUUAGAAUUGCAUUUGAAUUCAUUAUAAAUAAAUUUUUUAAAAAUGUAAUUUCAAUGUGACAAGUAAUUUUAUAUUGAAAACUUCGUAAAUUGUUGUGUUACUAAUUCAAUAGUACCACCUUUUCUCAAAGCAAAAAUAAAAUCUCAAAUACAACCUAUGUUUUGUCUCUCAGGUGCGAGCAUAUGAAUUCAACAUUGAAGUUCAUAUUAAUUCCUUCAGGUCAUCAGAACUCUACAAUGAGUAUUUAGCAAUGGAAAAGCCUUUGAUGCCAAAGACGAUUCCGCUUAUGCAACCUUGUUUUGUUCAAGCUACUGUAUUGAAAGCACCAUUGAAAUUGUCCAAGACCAGAUUUGUAUUUCAUGUCCCUUUAUAUGAAAUGCAAGAUAAUUGUAUGGUCAGAAGAACUGAGGUAUGUAUAGAAAACUGAUAGAAUUUAAAAUUCCUUUUGAAUUAUGGUUUUUAGUUCAGUAAAUUGAUUGUUUUGAAACAUGAAUGAUUUGAACUAUAUAACUAGUUACUCCAAAUAUUUACAACAUUUGGAGCAAGAAGAGUAUUGUCAAUUUUAGAGAACUUUAUUGUGUGUCUAUGUGUGUGUAUGUAUAAGUAUAUAUUACUUAUGUAUAAAUAUAAUUUAUAUAUAUUUACUUAUAAAUAUAUUUAUACUUAAGUAUAAUUUUACAUAUUACUUAUGUAAAAUUUUUCAGUUUUUGAAGUCCACUAAU
rnacentral:lncRNA from 1 species